CCUACGGGUGGCAGCAGUGAGGAAUAUUGGUCAAUGGGCGAGAGCCUGAACCAGCCAAGCCGCGUGAAGGAUGACGGCCCUAUGGGUUGUAAACUUCUUUUAUAGGGGAAUAAAGCUCGGUACGUGUACCGUCUUGCAUGUAUCCUAUGAAUAAGGAUCGGCUAACUCCGUGCCAGCAGCCGCGGUAAUCCGGAGGGUCCGAGCGUUAUCCGGAUUUACUGGGUUUAAAGGGAGCGUAGGCGGACGCAUUAGUCAGGUGUGAAAGUUUGGGGCGCAACCGUGGACUUGCAGUGGAAACUGGGUGGCGAGAGUGCGGGAGAGGUAGGCGGAAUGCGUGGUGUAGCGGUGAAAUGCGUAGAUAUCACGAAGAACUCCGAUUGCGAAGGCAGCUUACUGGACUGUAACUGACGCUGAGGCUCGAAAGCGUGGGGAUCAAACAGGAUUAGAUACCCGAGUAGUC
rnacentral:rRNA from 1 species